rnacentral:lncRNA from 1 species
GAGCAGGAGUGCCCGGCUUGAUCAUUCUUCAUAGAGAUUCUCCCUGAUGGAGCCUAGCCUGAGAGUGACUUCACAUCAUGCUAGCCGGGAGCUCAAUGUCCCUCUGCAAGGAGAACGAUGCCAGGUGGUUCACACAAUGCGUCCAAGAGGAAUUGAAUGUUACACUGGAUGACAGCCUUGUGGUUGGCCGAAAGCUGGGGUUCGUUGGAGCCCAUGGCAGCAUCCGUGAAACCAAAAAGGUCGGC